rnacentral:rRNA from 1 species
GACAGAGGGUGCAAACGUUGUUCGGAUUUACUGGGCGUAAAGCGCGUGUAGGCGGCUUUGCAAGUCGGAUGUGAAAUCCCACGGCUCAACCGUGGAAGUGCAUCCGAAACGGCAUGGCUGGAGUCCCGGAGAGGAAGGUGGAAUGCCUGGUGUAGAGGUGAAAUUCGUAGAUAUCAAGCAGAACACCUGCGGCGAAGGCGGCCUUCUGGACGGUGACUGACGCUGAGACGCGAAAGCGUGGGGAAGCAAACAGGGAUUAAGAAACC